UGGGGAAUAUUGCACAAUGGGCGCAAGCCUGAUGCAGCCAUGCCGCGUGUAUGAAGAAGGCCUUCGGGUUGUAAAGUACUUUCAGCGGGGAGGAAGGGAGUAAAGUUAAUACCUUUGCUCAUUGACGUUACCCGCAGAAGAAGCACCGGCUAACUCCGUGCCAGCAGCCGCGGUAAUACGGAGGGUGCAAGCGUUAAUCGGAAUUACUGGGCGUAAAGCGCACGCAGGCGGUUUGUUAAGUCAGAUGUGAAAUCCCCGGGCUCAACCUGGGAACUGCAUCUGAUACUGGCAAGCUUGAGUCUCGUAGAGGGGGGUAGAAUUCCAGGUGUAGCGGUGAAAUGCGUAGAGAUCUGGAGGAAUACCGGUGGCGAAGGCGGCCCGCUGGACGGAGACUGACGCUCAGGUGCGAAAGCGUGGGGAGCAAACAGG
rnacentral:rRNA from 1 species